CUCUUUGAACAUGGCCGUUCCUUCAUUCCUGAAUGGAGGCACACCAGUGACCAUUCCAGGGUUGUCUCAGAGUCUCUGGUAAUGGGUGGAAUUUAUUGGACCUUCGGUCUAAAGACAAAGUUCCAGACUGAGAAAAGUGAAAGAAUUGGGGAAAGCAGAAAUAAAGCCACAGAUGUGUCCGAUGGCCCGUUGGUUGGAAAGUAAAGACGAGAGAUGCCACGAGUGACUGGCAUGAUUCAGAAUGGUCAGAUUUACAUUACGUCAAGUGCCAAUUAUCAGUAGGAACGGAGUAAAGAGAUCAGAUAAAUGGAUUCAGCAGUGGAGUGCUCCCUGAGUGCCUGUGCAUUUGAGUUUGAUGCACUUGGAUGGUGCACAUCAAGAAAACAAAACAAGUUCUGACGUCAAAAUUUAAUCCUUUGGAAAAUUAAUGCUAUUCAACAAAGCUGAUGACUGCACUUACCUCAAUAGACAAUUUUGAAUUUCUAUAUCAAUGCCAUACCUGACGUGAAUACUACUGCUAGAGUCUCAGUGUCAACCCACUUAUUACUAAUCAAUGCAAGCUGCACUUAGGCGACUAGCAACAUAUAGAUUCGUUCAGAAGUAGAGAAACAGUGAACAACUUUGUUUUGAACACUAUCCAAAUAAAAACAUCCAUAGAUGAUUACAAUCACAAGCAUACAUGUGUGCAAGGAGAAUGGAGACAAGAAUGCAGAAUGUAGUGUUACAGCUACAGAGAAAAUGCAGAUAAAAAAGGUGCAAGGAUUGCAACAAAUUAGAUUGAGGGGCAGAGGUGAGUGUCAGGAAUACAUCCCUUGCCUUGUGAGAGGUCUGUUCAAGAGUCUGACACAUUAGAAAAGAAGCAGUCCUUGAAUCUUCACCGAAGAAAGAUCCUGAUCCACAGUGGACACCAUCUAAUGAACAAUGGAGUCAACUGUUUCCGUCCUUGGUGACACAGAAAAGAUAAUUAUUGCCUCUUUUGUGUCAUUCCUUGAACCUGCCUCUUUGAAGUAUUCUCAAGGUGCAGGUUGAGAAGCAGGAGAAUCCAUUGUUCAUUGAAUGAGGACUUCUUUAGAUUGUACAGAAUGGCACAGAAUUAUAUGUAUUGUGAUUCCCCAGCAAUGAAAACAAACUACUUAACAAUAGUAAUAAAAAAACAGAAUGAGACUGGAAGAGUUCAAUAAAUUGUGCGUCAUUUGUGGAGAGGAACAGAACAAAUGUUUCAGUCGAAUGAGUGAUCAAUAAUUUGAUUUGUGUCUCAAUCAUAAUGUGAGAGUACAAGGUGAGACUGGUCCAUUCAAAGUCAAUAAAUUGUCUGUGCUGUGCUUAUCCUGAUUUACUAAGAAUGGACUUUCAAGUACAGCAAUCAGGAGCAGGAGAUCCAAUUAAUCUCUUGAUGCAGGACACUAAGGUCAAUCUGUGCCAUUGGUGACUCUGGAGAAUGAAACUUGCAACUUCCGAUAUUAAUGUAAUCCAUGGCAAAGCAGGAUGGAAAUCAGUCAAGAAAGGAUUAGUUUAAUAUGCAAGUCUAAAUAGCCUCAAACCACAAUUGGCAGAAAUAUUGGUGAGAUGAGCAACAAGAGCUCCAGUAGCAACUACCAUUUUCUCUGCAGGAGCUCACCCACUCUUCUGAGCUCUAUCAACACUGCUCUGCCAGAAGACCAGUCUGCUGGGUUACUUCUGGGAUACCACCAGGGGCGCCGCAUGAUUGGCAGCCCCGCCAACAGUCUGUUUGUUUUUUUGUUUUUUAUAUUAUAUUUAGUGUGUGUUAAAAGU